rnacentral:rRNA from 1 species
UUAGGUUAAGUUAUUAAGGGCGUAUGGUGGAUGCCUUGGCACUAGGAGCCGAUGAAGGACGUGACUAACUGCGAUAUGCUUCGGGGAGUUGUAAGUAAACUAUGAUCCGGAGAUUUCCGAAUGGGGAAACCUAACAGGUUUUACCGCCUGUUAUCACUAAGUGAAUUCAUAGCUUAGUUGAAGGUAGACGUGGGGAACUGAAACAUCUAAGUACCCACAGGAAGAGAAAGAAAUUCGAUUCCCUCAGUAGCGGCGAGCGAACCGGGAAGAGCCCAAACUAAGAAGCUUGCUUCUUAGGGUUGUAGGACUGAACAUUUGAGUUACCAAGAAACGAAGUAGUUGAAUAAUCUGGGAAGAUUAGCCAAAGAGAGUGAUAGCCUCGUAAGCGAAACUUCGUUUCCUCAGUUCAGGAUCCUGAGUACGGCGGAACACGUGAAACUCCGUCGGAAUCCGGGAGGACCAUCUCCCAAGGCUAAAUACUACCUAGUGACCGAUAGUGAACCAGUACCGUGAGGGAAAGGUGAAAAGCACCCCGGGAGGGGAGUGAAAUAGUUCCUGAAACCAUAUGCCUACAAGUAGUCAGAGCUCGUUAAUGAGUGAUGGCGUGCCUUUUGUAGAAUGAACCGGCGAGUUACGUUAGCGUGCGAGGUUAAGGAGGAAAGUCCGGAGCCGUAGCGAAAGCGAGUCUGAAUAGGGCGAGAUAGUACGUUGACGUAGACCCGAAACCAGGUGACCUACCCAUGUCCAGGUUGAAGGUGCGGUAAAACGCACUGGAGGACCGAACCCGUGUAUGUUGAAAAAUGCUGGGAUGAGGUGUGGGUAGAGGUGAAAUUCCAAACGAACUUGGAGAUAGCUGGUUCUCUCCGAAAUAGCUUUAGGGCUAGCCUCGGAGUUAAGAAUCGUGGAGGUAGAGCACUGUUUGGACUAGGGGCCCGUCUUGGGUUACUGAAUUCAGAUAAACUCCGAAUGCCACAGAUUUAUAUCCGGGAGUCAGACUGCGAGUGAUAAGAUCCGUAGUCGAAAGGGAAACAGCCCAGACCACCGAUUAAGGUCCCAAAAUAUGUGUUAAGUGGAAAAGGAUGUGGAAUUGCAUAGACAACUAGGAUGUUGGCUUAGAAGCAGCCACCAUUUAAAGAGUGCGUAAUAGCUCACUAGUCGAGUGAUCCUGCGCCGAAAAUGUAACGGGGCUAAACACAUUACCGAAAUCGUGGAUGUACCGUAAGGUACAUGGUAGGAGAGCGUUCUAAGGACGGCGAAGCUAGACCGUAAGGACUGGUGGAGUGCUUAGAAGUGAGAAUGCCGGUAUGAGUAGCGAAAGAUCAGUGAGAAUCUGGUCCACCGUAUGACUAAGGUUUCCUGGGGAAGGCUCGUCCUCCCAGGGUUAGUCGGGACCUAAGCCGAGGCCGAGAGGCGUAGGCGAUGGAUAACAGGUUGAGAUUCCUGUACUGGUUAAACUUGUUUGAACAAUGGAGGGACGCAGGAGGCUAUCGAUGCGUACUGUUGGAUAUGUACGUUCAAGCAACAAGUCUGUAGAUGAGUCAAAUGCUUAUCUACUUAAGGACAAGUUGUGAUGAGGAGCGAAAUUUAGUAGCGAAGUGAGAGACGUCACACUGCCAAGAAAAGCUUCUAGUUAGAGUUUAAUCACCCGUACCGCAAACCGACACAGGUAGUCGAGGCGAGUAGCCUAAGGUGAGCGAGAGAACUCUCGUUAAGGAACUCGGCAAAAUGACCCCGUAACUUCGGGAGAAGGGGUGCUGAGCGCAAGCUCAGCCGCAGUGAAUAGGCCCAGGCGACUGUUUAUCAAAAACACAGGUUUCUGCAAAAUCGUAAGAUGAAGUAUAGGGGCUGACGCCUGCCCGGUGCUGGAAGGUUAAGAGGAUGGGUUAGCGUAAGCGAAGCUCAGAAUUGAAGCCCCAGUAAACGGCGGCCGUAACUAUAACGGUCCUAAGGUAGCGAAAUUCCUUGUCGGGUAAGUUCCGACCCGCACGAAAGGCGUAACGAUCUGGGCACUGUCUCAACGAGAGACUCGGUGAAAUUAUAAUACCCGUGAAGAUGCGGGUUACCCGCGACAGGACGGAAAGACCCCAUGGAGCUUUACUGUAGCUUGAUAUUGGGUGUUUGUACAACUUGUACAGGAUAGGUAGGAGCCGUAGAAGUCGGAACGCUAGUUUCGAUGGAGGCAUUGGUGGGAUACUACCCUCGUUGUAUGAACACUCUAACCCUCGCCGGCAAUCACGGCGGGAGACAGUGUCAGGUGGGCAGUUUGACUGGGGCGGUCGCCUCCUAAAAGGUAACGGAGGCGCCCAAAGGUUCCUUCAGAAUGG